UCCUACGGGAGGCAGCAGUGGGGAAUAUUGGACAAUGGGCGCAAGCCUGAUCCAGCCAUGCCGCGUGAGUGAAGAAGGCCUUCGGGUUGUAAAGCUCUUUUGUCCGGAAAGAAAAGCUUCGGGUUAAUAACCCGGGGUCAUGACGGUACCGGAAGAAUAAGCACCGGCUAACUUCGUGCCAGCAGCCGCGGUAAU
rnacentral:rRNA from 1 species